CCCGUGCUCUAUACUUCGCUUAUCUCCCUCCCUCCGCGUGCCCGCACAUGGCGUCCUUGUGCUCCUCUCUCUCUCUCUCUCUCUAUAAACUCCUCUCCUCUCCGUCGUUAAUCCAUACCUCUCUUCUCUUCUCCUCGACCACAUCGCUCUCCAAUAAUGCUCCCCCUAAUGGACAGGCGACGGCUACCGGUGGCGCGACGUCAGAGCGAAGCCUCCGCCGGUCGUAAUGGAGCGUUGCGCAACGCAGGACGUCGCGUGAUCCGUGGAGGGAGGGAGAGGCAUGCCGUUAGCGUGUCGGUGAGGAGGAAGGUGAGAGAGCUGCAGAGGCUGGUGCCGGGCGGGAGACAGUUGCCGGCGGCGCAGCUUUUCCUGCACACCGCCGACUAUAUCUUCCACUUGAGCUUGAAAGUGCAAGUCCUGAGGGCUCUUUCCAAAUUCUACAUGCCGUGAUAUGAGAUAUAUAUAUAUACACACGCAACUAGCCAUUACAUGUAUGCCUUUAUUUCAAGUAUAUGUACUUCUCUUUGUGAUCGGUAACUCUGUUCUUGAAUAAAUUUAAUAUGAUAUUAAUAUUUUAUUGAUGUUAAUUUCUGAAAGUUCUUACAUGUGUAGAAUAUGAGGCUUAAUUUGUUGAUAUGUUAUAACUCUACUCUCUUGAGGUUGUCAAGGACUGAUCUGGUCUAUUUUUUCGUUCUAAUUCAUGCAUUAAAUCCUAAGUUUCUGAGAUGAUGCGAGUGAUAUAUGUAGGUAAUCUCUUGUAGAGAUGUUGCUUUUGGAUCCAUGUAGAUAUAGAAUUUGGAGGAUUAAUGUGAUAUUUUAUUGUUGUUUAGUUUAUGCAUCAGAAUCCAAAGCCUGUUGUUUUAAUGUCACUUAAGAGUGGAUAUCUUAGUGAGUAUUUAUUUGUGCACAAAUAAAUCUUGAGAUGUCAAGAAAGAGUACUAUUCCUUCAAGUUUUCUUCUUCUUUUUUUCUUCUUAAAAUUCUGCCAUAAGCCACUAUUUCUUUUUCAAUUUUAUUGAUUCCUUCUUUCAAAAAUUUUGAAUUUUGGGAAGAGAGUCUGAAAAUCCAACUGGCAUUUCUUCUUUUGAACAACAAUAAUUACCUUUUAUAAUUUUAUUGUUUUUUUUUUCUUCUUAUUGAUCAUUUUGAAUCAGGAAAAGUAAGUCAAGAUCAAUAAAAUCAUCAAUAUAUGUACUGCAAUAUCUUCUAAUAUAUUCACUAUUCUUUUAGCUUUUGCUAUAGUUUUCAAUUCGCAUAUAAAUGUUCAGCAAUAAAACACUUUGUAUUUAGAGGCAAAGUCCUCUUUAUUUUAUUUUAUUUUAAUUUUAUUUUAACCAUUUGUAAGACUUCAGAUUGAAAACUAUAAGCUGUUGUUACAAGGAUGACCAAAGAAUAUACAAAAUCCAUAUUUUUAUCUUCCAUGUUCUUACUAGUUAAUUGGUGGUUGUAAAUAGAAUUUAGGCCUUGACAUGAUGGAAUGACAUUAAUUAUAUCUUGAUGAGUAUAUUAAUAAAUUCAUGUUAUUUAAAAUUUGCAUGAUCUUUGUUUUCUGGUAAAUAUAUACAAAAGAAAAAACAAAGACAUGUCCUAUUAGAUGCUUUUAGUAGAAUAGUUCAUUUAACAUAAUAGUUAUGAUCACUUGUUUUAAAAGAUUUGAAGAAACUAGGAAUAAAUGCAGGAAUUUGUAUAGGUAAUCUUAUCAUCAGCCUACUUUGAUUAAAAGAAUUAAUCAAAGUUAAUGAGAAUGGUUCUCCAAGGUUAUGUACCUAAUAUUAAGAAUUAAGAAAGGACAUAUAAUUAAUUAAUAGUAGAAAAGGGAGAUAAUGGAGAAAGCUUAUAAGACAAGCUACAAAUGCAACCAGAUGGAACUAAGUUAUAUAUAAAUGUAAUAAAAAGUUUUUGCUAAAAUAAUAUAAAAAAAUUACAAAAUAUGUUUCACAAAACUUUAUUUGUCAGCAAAUUGAAAUGAGCAUAAGAAGUCACCUAGAAAAUUAGAGUUGUUGCCUAUACUUAACACAAAUGGAAUAAUAUAUCUAUGAAUUUUAAGAUAAGAUUACCAAAGACUAUUAGCCAAAAUGAUAUUGUUUUGUGUGAUUAUGGAUGAUCUAACAACUAAGGCAACACAUUUUCUCACUAUUUAGGUUAAUAGCCUUUUAAAAAAUUGACAAAAUUAUAUGUUGAUUAUAUUUUUAUAUCAUGAGAAUCUUAGCUACCUUAGUUGGUAAAAAACUAUUGAUAGUAGUUCUUUAGAUCAAAUCUCGUCUUAAUCACUUGGUUUUUUUAUUAAAAACAAAAGGUUGCUAGAUUUUGCGGUAUUAUGUCACAGAGAUUCGGAUUUGUUCAAAUCUUAUUUUAUUGAUUUUAAAGGUUUUUGGAUUGAAAUUUUAUUCUCAGUGGUAUUUACUUAUACUAAUAACUAUAAUAAUAACUAUGAAGCAAGUAUUAAAAACAUAGACCUCAUUUGUAGCUUAACAUAAGAGGAAAUGUAGACCGCUAAUAUGUUGGAACGAUAUUAGUGAAAGAAAAUAUUUAAAAUUUGAUAUAAUUAUAAAAUUAUUGAAAGAUCAAGUUGAUUAAAGAACAGUUUUUUGUAAUUCAAUACAAAUAAUAGACUUAUGUUGGUAUAGUAAACAUGAUUUCAAAUUUGAUGUUGGAGAAUAUGUUUUCUUAAGUUAUUCCAAACCAAGGUGUCAUGUGAUUACAUAUAUUAGAUGAUGAUUUGAGAUUUUGGAAUUGAUUAAAAAUAUAGUUUAAUGUAGUUGUUUUACCAUUUUCUUUGACUAGAGUUCAUAAUAUUUAAUUUUUUAUUUAAAUAAAUUUUAAAUAGGAUUUUAAUCGUGUAAUCUAACGAACAUUACUACCGUUAGAGAAGGAUUUGUCAAGUGAGGAAUUACAUUUAUUUUGUCGAUAGAACAUCAUAUUCAACCAAUAUGUAAACCAAUCCUCCAACACAUCAGUCAAUCGUAUAGCACAUUGAUCAAUCUUCUUCCAAUAUGUCAAUUAAUCUUUCGGCUCAAUGUUUAUACUCUUGAUCAACAUAGGGCUUUUAAAUUUGAUGUUUGAUCCUUUGAUUUGACAUUUGAUUCUUUAGCUUGACAAUCGAUCAUUUCACCUUUACUUGAAGAAUCUUUGAUAUCACUUGUCUAAGAAACAAAACUAAAAUAAGGUUAGUUUAUCAAAUUCAUCAAUUAAUUUUAUCAAUAAGAUUGACUUAAAAUGAUAUAACAUAUUCUUAAUAAUGCAACAUCUUAAAUUAAAUCGACAAAGUAACUUAAAAAUGUACGUGGAUUGAUAAUUAGUACAAGUAAUUAUGUUAAGGACAUAAUUAUUGUAGUGAGAAAUUAUAUAAAUAAAAUUUGAAUCCUUUACGUUUUUACCUAGUAUUAUCGGAAAGAACUGAUUGAACAUCAAAAUAAUUAGCAACACAAGUUAAACCAAAAUUUGAAUAUCUCCUCCAUGUUGGUAGUAAUAGCUUCUCACCUUUUGUGGAAACAAAAUGGCUACUUUUAAUAAACUAAGUACAAAAAAAAAAAAAGUCAAUUUGGACAAGGAGAAAGCAAUCUUGAAUUGAUGUAUUUGUGAUCUGAUAUAUGUUUUGAAUGACGCAUGAAGCUUCGAUUAGGAAGAGACAAUUAAAGUAGGAAGAAUCAUGUUGGGCCGAAAUGGAACAUGUCAGAAGAUUGGACGUUAAGCCAAAGGAUCAGUCGACCUAUCAGCAGAAGGCUUCGGGCCAUAAGUUCAGGCAUCGAGCCAAAAAGAGCGAAAAUUACGCCAAGAAAAUCGAAGUUGCGAAAGUCAACUAGCCGAUUGGGCAAUAGGCCGCAAGAGAGGACGAUGGAUUGAAGAAUCGAAUGAAGCGUCGAUGAACCAAUGACAUAUCGAACAAUAUUUGAUUCAAGCUUUGUAAUAAUUAUCUAGAUUGAAGUAGGUUUUAGGCGUAAUUGGGUUAGAAUUAGGCCAACUCAAUUAGUGGCCAAUUAGGCCAAGUCUAGGAGGUUGUGUUGAGCUAAGUGAGUUGGAUGGAACCAUCGGUGGCAUAGUCUCCGAGAUUGUGUCAGGUAGUGGUAGCGCCAAUCUAGGCGGUGAUACCACCAGACUCGGUCUCCGAGACUGUCAAGCGGUGGUACCACCAGUUUGGGCGAUGGUACCACUAGUUUGGGCAGUGGUAUUGCUAGUAUGGGUGGCGGUACCGCCCAGCACAAGCGAUGAUACUACUAUACCUCGAAAAUCGGGGAUGAGAUACUUUUAGGCUCCAAGUUUGCAUCCACUUGAGGCCUAUAAAUAUCCUUCUUAUCCCUAGUUAAUAUACACAAAAAUUGAGAGCAAAAAAAGGAAGAAAACGCUAUUGUAAUCUUGUGAGAACUCCUCUCAAACUCUAAGUAUUAAUAAAGUUUAAGAGAGGAGAUAGUGGGGGUGUAAAGGUUCUCUCUUGAGCUUGUCAAAAGGAGAAUAGAGUUAUAAGAAGGUGGUUAGUCUUCGCCUAUUAAAGGAAGACCGCUAGUGGAUGCUAGUGGCCUCGACGGAAAAGGAAUUGAGAGUGGAUGUAGGUCACAACGACCGAACCACUAUAAUUUCGGUGUGUUCUUUCCUUAUUGUUUAUUCUAUUUACUGCAUUGCAAACUAUCCAAUCCCCUCUUCUCUAUUCACUUGCAAACUUAUACGAGUCAAACAAACGGUUUUCGUCAUAAUCAGUUUUUAUCAUACGAAGAUUGUAAGUAAUAAUCCCAACAAAAUAUAGUUAAAAUUUAAGAGAGGAUGUAGUAGGGGAUAUAAAGGUUCUUUCCUAAGCCUGUUAAAAAGAGAAUAGAGUUGUAAGAAGGUGGUUGGUCUUCACCUAUUAAAGGAAGACUGCUAGUGGAUGCUGGUGGCCUUGACGGAAGAGGAAUCGAGAGUGGAUAUAGGUCAUAACGACCGAACCACUAUAAAUUCUGGUGUGUUCUUUCCUUACUGCUUAUUCUAUUUACUACAUUGCAAACUAUCCAAUCCCUUCUUCUUUAUUCACUUGCAAACUUAUACGAGUCAAACAAAUAGUUUUCGUCGUAAUCAGUUUUUAUCGUACGAAGAUUGGAAGUAAUAAUCCCAACAAAAUAUAGUUAAAGUUUAAGAGAGGAGGUAGUAGGGGGUGUAAAGGUUCUCUCCUAAGCCUGUUAAAAGAAGAAUAGACUUGUAAGAAAGUGAUUGGUCUUCACCUAUUAAAGGAAGACCGCUAGUGAAUGCCGAUGGCCUUGACGAAAGAAGAAUCGGGAGUGGAUGUAGGUCACAACACCGAAUCACUAUAAAUUCUGGUGUGUUCUUUCCUUACUACUUAUUAUGUUUACUAUAUUACAAACUAUCCAAUCCCUCUUCUCUAUUCACUUGCAAACUUAUACGAGUCAAACAAAUGAUUUUUGUUGUAAUUAGUUUUUAUCGUACGAAGAUUUUCAAAACCGACGUUUUUAUCCGCUGCACUACUUCACACACACCCCCGCCUCCCACUCUUAGUGCCGACUUGAUCCUAAUAGAAUGAUUUCGGGAUCAGUUUUGUUUAGUGUUGGAAUAACUACGUGAGAUCCGGAUUCUAAUUGUAAUAAAAUGCUAUACAAAUUAGAAGCAAUGGCAUAGAAAAGUUGUGCUGAUGGUAAGUAAUAAUCCCAACAAAAUAUAGUUAAAGUACCCCUAAUUAAUUCAUAAGCUCUUUUGGAUAUUUGAAUUGUGAUAGAAUAUUAUAUUAUUAGAUUAUAAAUGAAUAUCAUCUAAUAGUGAUUGUUCUAUCAAUAUGUGAUAAGACUGGUAUCUCAACCAAUGACACAUCAAUAUCUAAAAUCUAAGGAUAGAUUAUGGUCAAGUAAUUUUUAUUGAAUCCUAUUAAUCCAACAUUGAUACUUGAAGAUGAAUUAUCUUGAAUUAAAAAAUUGAGAUCCUGACCAUUCAUGUUGAAAUAUUGAUGGGACUAUGAAUGGUUAACCAAGAGCAUAUGUAUGAGUUGAGAUCAAAUUUAAAUUACAUUUUUCUUGUUGUUUUACAUAUUUAUUAAUCCACUGUGUUCCAUUGAUAUGAUUAUAAAUUGAUUUGGUAAACCAUUUUAAGUUGGAUUGGGCUACUUGUGAAAGGGCUAUAAGUGAUAAUAUAUGAGAUUUUCUCAUCUAUAUAAUAAAUGAUAUUUUUUCAAUUGUACGAAGAAAUCUCGCUGCUCAAUUGAGGAAAUCUUCUCCUUUAAUAUGUAUAAAUAGACAUCGUAUCAAAACUAAUGGAAGAGAAUAUUUUUUUGCCUUUACAACUUCAUUCUGUGUUCUAUUAAUAAGCACAUAGUGUGCAACUGCUAUUAUACUAUGUCUCACAUGUCUUAUAUUAUGCAUGAAUUCAUACUCUUGAUAAUCAUAUGACAAAUUAACUCUUUCUACAUAAUUAGUAUCUUAUCGUCUAUAUAUAUUUUUUAAAUACAUGCACCGUGUGAUAUAUAAUGACGAUGUAUAUAAAAAUAUUAUUUUCUAAAUAGGUCAAGUCUAACACUAAAAGAUCGAUUUCCUUCGUGGAUCAUAAGGUUGUAAGAGACAAUAGAUCUUCCAUUAAUCGUUAAGAGAAACAUGUCUUUAUCUACUUUGAGGUAUGAUAUAAGCUCCUUGUGUAGUAGCCAUGGUGAGAUAAAAGAAGUAAUCCUAUGAAGUGAUGUCCCUCUACCAGUUAGUGAGAGAAUGUAUUAUUGAAUAUCCAACUAUGUCAUGAUGUUAUUGAUGAUGAUUAUGCAUGCAUGUACUAAUUUUUAUGUAUUAUUUUACAUAAGAGAAUGUGAUAAUUAAAGGAGAAUAUUACUCUUUUCGAGAGUGAUGUGGUUUCUCCUUCAUUAUUUGGGAGUAUGCAUCCAUCAAAGUCCUGUUCAUAUGGCUCAUGUAUUUAUGAACAACAGUAUAAGGAGUAUGCUGCAUGAGUUCUUAUAAUCUGCACAUAAUAAAUACUUGACUAUUAAUAUACAUUUGCACUCCUACUUGUUGGUAUCUUCCUAUUCCAUAAGAAGUCUUUCUUCGUUGAUCCCCAUUUGUUUGUUGCAGGAUUGUUACAGAGGAUACAGCACACCAGUGACAAAAGCAGUCCAUCAAUAGCUUACCCAAGUGGAAUUAGCUUCAAAAGAUCAGGAUCAUGAACUGAGGUCAUUCUCAAAUCUAUGAGUAGCUUACACAUGAAACCAACCUUCCAAAUUAGCAGUAUCUCAAUAAAACCUUGAAUAAAAGUUGAGAGACAGCAUUCCAUGAAGACGAAGGAUACACUUCUUAACAUCUCAACUCCUUCUUCGGCCAUAGCUUUACUCCACAGAUUAAGUCCCAAUUGGUAGCCAGUAGACUAUUUAUUACAAGCCCAUCGGUAGCCAAUUGAGAACAGUAGAAAGAAACUGUGAACAUAAUAUAAGUAAAAAUUCAAGAGACGAAAGCAUACUUACCAACCAUACUUUAACUCAGCUAAUUGAUAUCAUUUUGAACAAAGAGAUUGCUGACUAAUUUUUUAUGAGGUGUAACUUCCCUCCCUCCAUAUAUGCAACUAUUAGGAAAAGAGAACAGAGACAAAAGUCCAGUUUGUGUGGUUUAUUUGCAGAUGUAGCUGCAGAUUUCAUAAACUUAAGCCCCAGACAAAGAUGAGAAUUCAUGCUAUUCAUUCAGCACCGUUCCAUGCAACUGAAAUAGCUCCAGAUUUUACAAAGAUAUCGACCGGAUGCUGUCUAACGGGCCACAAGGAGUCUCAAGCUUCCUGGACUUCAAUAUUUAUAGAAAAAUAAUGAAUUGGGAAAAAUAAUUAAUACGACACCCAAUUGAAUUGUUCAGCAGAGAAGUUUCUGUUUUGAGGCGGAAAGAAAGCAAAGAAUGAAUAAAACCAUAUUGUCAACUUAAGUAGUCCUGAAAUAUUUAUGAAUGUCCAUCGAGGUUGCAUGCCUUUGCUGCUUCCUUUACUUUCACUUCUCUUGCAACUUGUAAUGAAUUUUUUGCUUCUGAAUAUACACUCUGAUAGUUCAGCAACAAGUUUAAAUACCAAAACAUCCUACAGCUCCUAUUCUAAUUAUUUAAUCAUUUUUCUCUUUUUUCACCUUUUUUAUCUCAAGUAUCAAUAUCCUCUUAUCUUCAGUUUAUACUGAACACUAUAAAGAUCAAGCCUACUUGUAGUUGUUUCACGCUGACAAUUGUUCUGCAAGCCACUGUUCGAUAUCCUUUUUGCCUUCUGCAAAAUAAAAUAAUAAAUAUGACUUCAUAUAAUAAACAUUUAAAUCAAAUUACAUUUUAAAAGUAUAAUUCAUCUUCCCAAAGAACAAUAUACAUGUUUCCAAUA
rnacentral:lncRNA from 1 species